GAGGAAUAUUGGUCAAUGGGCGCAAGCCUGAACCAGCCAAGCCGCGUGAAGGAUGACGGCCCUAUGGGUUGUAAACUUCUUUUUUACGGGAAGAACCCUCCGACGUGUCGGAGACUGACAGUACCGUACGAAUAAGCAUAGGCUAACUCCGUGCCAGCAGCCGCGGUAAUACGGAGGAUGCAAGCGUUAUCCGGAUUCAUUAGGUAUAAAGGGUGCGUAGGCGGAUUUGUAAGUCAGUGGUGAAAUACUAUAGCUUAACUAUAGAACUGCCAUUGAUACUGCAAGUCUUGAGUACAAUUGAGGUAGGCGGAAUGUGUGGUGUAGCGGUGAAAUGCUUAGAUAUCACACAGAACACCGAUUGCGAAGGCAGCUUACUAAACUGUAACUGACGCUGAUGCACGAAAGCAUGGGGAGCAAAC
rnacentral:rRNA from 1 species